GCUGUCCCGGGCACUUUGCACUCCAGGCAGCGGCUGGAUCCCCCCAUAAGCAGGGGUGCAAGCUCCGUGGCCGCUGCCUUGCACACCCAGCUUCAUUUGCCCUGGCUGCCCGCCUCUGAGCCCAGUUCCAGUUCUGGCCCCGUCUGGAGCUCUGCUGCGCAUCGCCUCGUCCGAGCCCCGCGGCGCCCGGUGCCGAACCGCCCCGUACCUCCGCGCCCAGGAGGGCGGAAACACCCGAAUGCCCGCCGCCACCGCUGAAGGGUCUCGCUCGUCUCAAUGGUGGUCCCAGCACUCACCCCCCACCGCCGCCGCAGGGAAACACGCCCGGAGCGCCGCCGUGUUUCUCCCGACCACUACGCCCGUGCUCCUGGUGCGCGUCUGGAAACGCCGCCGGCCGAACGGUCGCGACGGGAAUCGCGCACGGAACUGGAAAGAAACCGUGCCGCAGAGCACAAUGCAGGGGGUGUGCGGCUCUGGAAAAAAGCACCUCCCGCCGCGAGUACUGCUGACGAACCUAGGAUGGCCGCCCGGAAGGCACGUACCAGGAAACUACACCUGUCGGCGCGCCACGGGACGCGGUGGUGUCUGGCGUCUGACCAUACGCGCACGCCGUAAGAGCUCUUCCCGCUCCACCGCUCUUUCCCGCUGCGGAACACGAGAGGUCCUGAGGAGAACAGAGAGAUACCAAAAGUUGAAACAAAAAAUGAGGGCCUCAACAGGAGACCUGAGGGAAAAGGAGAGGUUCAAAGGAGGCUACACCAGAGAUCCUGCCUCCUGGAAAUGCUCUGUGAUGUCCUAG
rnacentral:lncRNA from 1 species